UGUAUCUGAAGUCUGACGAGGAUGAGAACCUCCGGGGGCAAGAGGUUCGACUCGAGCGAAGCGAGAGAACGUUGCGUCAGCAACGGCCCG
rnacentral:sRNA from 1 species